CAACUCCCCUCGAGGCCCCCCGCACCCGGCGGGCCCCGGUGUUGGGGGACGGCCGCCGCGCCGCCCCCGAAAUGCAGUGGCGACCCCGCCGCAGCCUCCCCUGCGCAGUAGCACACGCCUCGCACCGGAGCGCGGACAGGGCCAAGCCGUAAAACGCCCCGACCUCCAAG
rnacentral:misc_RNA from 1 species